rnacentral:rRNA from 1 species
AUUGAACGCUGGCGGCAGGCCUAACACAUGCAAGUCGAACGAGUGGCGGACGGGUGAGUAAUGUCUGGGAAACUGCCCGAUGGAGGGGGAUAACUACUGGAAACGGUAGCUAAUACCGCAUACCAUCGGAUGUGCCCAGAUGGGAUUCGCUAGUAGGUGGGGUAACGGCUCCCCUAGGCGACGAUCCCUAGCUGGUCUGAGAGGAUGACGAGCCCCACUUGAUCUGAGACACGGCCCAGACUCCUCCGGGACGCCGCAGUGGGACAUAUUGCACAAUGGGCGCAAGCCUGAUGCAGCCAUGCCGCGUGUAUGAAGAAGGCCUUCGGGUUGUAAAGUACUUUCAGCGAUGAGGCGUUACUCGCAGAAGAAGCACCGGCUAACUCCGUGCCAGCAGCCGCGGUAAUUC